rnacentral:rRNA from 1 species
UACGUAGGGUGCGAGCGUUGUCCGGAAUUAUUGGGCGUAAAGAGCUCGUAGGCGGUCUGUCGCGUCGGCUGUGAAAACCCGGAGCUCAACUCCGGGCCUGCAGUCGAUACGGGCAGACUGGAGUUCGGCAGGGGAGACUGGAAUUCCUGGUGUAGCGGUGAAAUGCGCAGAUAUCAGGAGGAACACCGGUGGCGAAGGCGGGUCUCUGGGCCAAUACUGACGCUGAGGAGCGAAAGCGUGGGGAGCGAACAGG